GGACGAACGCUGGCGGCGUGCUUACCACAUGCAAGUCGAACGCUGAAGCUCAGCUUUUGUUGGGUGGAUGAGUGGCGAACGGGUGAGUAACACGUGAGUAACCUGCCCUCUUCUUUGGGAUAACGCCCGGAAACGGGUGCUAAUACUGGAUAUUCACUGAUCUUCGCAUGGGGGUUGGUGGAAAGGUUUGUUCUGGUGGGGGAUGGGCUCGCGGCCUUUCAGCUUGUUGGUGGGGUGAUGGCCUACCAAGGCUUUGACGGGUAGCCGGCCUGAGAGGGUGACCGGUCACAUUGGGACUGAGAUACGGCCCAGACUCCUACGGGAGGCAGCAGUGGGGAAUAUUGCACAAUGGGCGAAAGCCUGAUGCAGCGACGCCGCGUGAGGGAUGGAGGCCUUCGGGUUGUAAACCUCUUUCGCUCAUGGUCAAGCCGCGACGUGGGUUGUGGUGAGGGUAGUGGGUAAAGAAGCGCCGGCUAACUACGUG
rnacentral:rRNA from 1 species